GGGUUAUGUUUAAGGUCUAGACGACUAACAUGUAAGUCGUCUGGGAAGUCUUCUAAUUCCCGCUAAAAAUAUUGAAGUCUUCUGGGCGACUUACAAGUAAGUCGUCUAGUAAGUCUUCUGAUCAAAAAUAUUUAACCUUAUUGGAAUUUUUGUCUCCAUAUAUAAAAAAAAAUUUACACAUUCUCUCUCCUCCUCUCAAAUGGGUGCAACAAAAAUGGUAUGUUCCUCAUUCUAAACUCUCCAACAUCUCUCUAAUCUCACUGAACUUAUAAACACCAACUUUAUAUCAAUUUAUUGUUUUUGUCUCAUGUCUUUUUCACUAAAUUAUCUUGUUUUGUAGGUUUUUCAACACAUGAUUCUUAUCUUCCACUCAUUUAAAGGUAGAUUUAUUAAUUUUAGAUAUGUAUUUUUGUGUGUUCUACAAAGGUAGAUCUAUCUAAUAUUCCACUUAUUUUCUCUGUUUUUAAGCCAUUUGAACGUUUUUGGAGAUGCAAGUUUUUCAGAUCUGGAUUUGGAUAUGCAGGUUUUUCAUAUCUGGAAGACUUCUGGGCUAGAAGACUUCCAUACGACUUCUAGGAAGACUUCCAGACGACUCCCAAGAGGUCUUCUGACGGAGUCUUCUCCCAUGUCUCCCUUUCAUAAUAGAUUUGAGUGUUUUGGUAAGUUCUUAUGCUGAUUUUUCUUCAUUUGGUAACCUCCUGUUGCAUAAAAUUCAUAUUUUUUUCCCAAACUAAAACUCUCCAAACCUACUCUAAUCUCUUUGACUUGAAAACACUAAACUUUAUAUGAAUUUUCAUUUUUGUCUCAUGUCUUUCUCACUAAUCUAUCUUUUUAUUGCAAGUUUUAAUCAGAUGACCCUCAUCUUCCACUUGGAUAUGUACUUUGUGUGUUCUAUAAAAGUAUAUAUAUCUAAUUUUCCACUCAUUUUCUCUGUUUUUAAGCCAUUUGAAUGUUUUUUGAUAUGAUAUGCAGGUUUUACAGAUCUGGGUUUGAUAUAAAUGUUUUUCAGAUCUGGAUCAGACUUUUGAAGACCUAUGGGAAGUCUUCUCGGAAGUCUUCCAGACGACUUCCAGGAAAUUUUCUAACGGGGUCUUCUUCCAUAUCAAGUGGAGUCUAAGCUUGUCUUUGUAGAGGAAUGAUCUAUAAUAGUUUUGUUUGUGAUAUGUUUUGUGAUUUGCAUGUGUACUCCUUUAGUUGUGACUUUUUUGUAAAUUUGAAGAGAUAUUAAUGAAAAAAAUUGGUAAAUAUAUUCAUUUUCCACGACAUUAUCAUGCCAAAAUUACUUGACAUAAUUGAAGUUAUUAAUAAAACUUCAAUAGCAAAACAGAGUAACACAAAAAUUAAUCAAAUUUAUUACAACUAAGGGAGAAGAAUUCUAAAGAAUACUUAGUCAAAUUCACAAAAGAAAAAACACUACAUAAGUUCAAAGCUACAUAAGUAAACAUUAUAUCUUAUGAUCUGAGAAGACACAUUAAACCAUGUUACUUGAUACUCUUGAAAUUACUUAACACUUUUAAAAAUUAAAUGAACAUAUCUUAAAGUUACUUAACAAAUUUACAAAAACUAACGUAGAAGACUUCCACGGAAGUCUUCUCAAUUAGCUAGAAACUUUACUAAGCAUGAAUGUUGGUAAUCUUAUAAAUAUCACCAAUUAAGUUAUAAAUUUCAUUCGGUAGCUCCAAUAUUGACUAAUUUACAUGAAUUAACAAAAAAAAAUUUAAAAGUCUUUAUAGUUUUUGAGAAAAUGAAAGUUUAUUAAACAUUGACGCAGACGACUUCCACGGAGGCCGUCUGGUAGACUUCUAGGAAGUCAUCCAUUUAGGUUAAUUUUGCAAUUGAUUUUUAACCUAGACGACUUACAUGGAAGUCCAUCUUUGUUUGUUAAAAAAAAAAUUUGAGACUAUUUCCAUGUAAGUCGUCUAGGGAAAAUUGAUUAGUUUUGCAUUUGACCGGAUUGUGUCAGAAAUUUGACAUUUCCUGGACGACUUACAUUAAAAAAUCAGUAUUUUGUUAUACAUAGACGACUUCCAUGUAAGUCGUUUCAGGUUAGUUUUGCAAUUAAAACAUAAAACAAAAAAAAUUAUUUUUUUCUAGACGACUUAUACGGAAGUCGUCCGUCCGACGACUUACAUGGAAGUCGUCCAAGAUAAGCAAGGUUUGACCAGAAUCUCGGAAUAAAAUCAUGGACGACUUUUCCAAGAUAAGCAAGGUUUGACCAGAAUCUCAGAAUAAAAUCAUGGACGACAUCAGACGACUUCCGUGUAAGUCGUCUAGACAAAAAUAAUUUUUUUGUUUUAUUUUUCAAUUGCAAAACUAACCUGAGACAACUUACACGGAAGUCGUCUAGGUAUAACGAAAUAUUGAUUUUUUAAUUUUCUAUUGGACGACUCAUGGAAGUCGUCCAGAAAAAGUCAAAUUUCUGACACAAUCCGGUCAAAUGCAAAACUAACCCGUUUAAUAUGUCGUCUCGUUUUUUUUUUAACAAACAAAGAUGUACGACUUCCAUGUAAGUCGUCUAGAAAAACACAUUUAAAAGUCAAUUUCAAAAUUAACCUCUGCAUUGACCAGAAGACUUCCAUGUAAGUCGUCUACAGCCAGACGACUUACCCGGAAGUCAUCUGGACAAACAGAUCUGGAAAAAAAAAACUAAUUUCAUAGUUUUAGGCAGUGAGAUAAUUUGUUUAGCACACAAAAGUCUUCUCCAAGCACCCAUAAUCUCAAACAAAAGUGACCCACUAAGAAUCGUAAGCUUCAAUGGCUCUAUGAACCAUAAAAUUUUUAAAAUCAAAAUCUUGGGUUUUUUUCGUUGAAUAUGGAGAGAAAUUAAAGAGAUGUUUUUUUUUGGUUCAUUAGAAUUGAGAAAUAAAGAGUGUAAAUCGAUUUUUUGGUGCAUUAAGAACUUCAAAUUGGUUGUUCAUGGUGGUUGGUGUAUUGAUGGCAAUGGCAAUAUUGUGAAUACUUGAGGAAGAUGAGAGUGAUAGAGCAAAAUAAGCAUUUUCAAAAAAAAAACAAAAAGUGAUGGUAUUUUCGUGAAUAAUCUGAACUUUAGGGGUGAAAGAGGCAAGUAAAAGUUCCAAAAAAAACAAGGGUUAGUUUUGUGUUUGACUUUCAAGUUUUGAGUCAUAUUUGCAAAAAGUUCAAAUUUUUAAUUACGAUUAUAAAUUACUAAAAUUAUUAAAAGUACACAUUUAAUUUUUUUUUCAGAAUCUUAAAUUUUUUUUUAUAAAAAUACAAAUGGUCGUAAAAUCAUAUGAGUAUGAAAUCUUGGUUAAUAAUAGAUAACCAUAUUAAAAAGUAUACUAUAUAUGUAUGUUAAUAUCAUUUAAAAUUAACUACAGUGAAACCUCUAUAAAUUAAUAAUGUUGGGACUACACCAUAACUAUAAUUUUUUUAUUAAUUUAUAGAGAUAUUAAUUUAUCGAUAUACUAAUUGAACCAAAAACUCAAUUUGAGACUAUAAAUUAUAUUAUUUUAAAGAGAUUUUUAGUGUAUAUUAAUUUAUAGAGCAUUAAUUUAAAGAGGUUAUAGUGUAUUUACCAUAGAAAAUAGGUAAAUAUGAUUGUUUUGAUUUAUUUAUCAUAAAAAUUAAAUAAAAAGAGUGAUUAUUUUCAUUUAUGUGUUCAUGCAAUUUAAUUAUAUAUGCAAUAAUUACUUUCCUCUCAAUUAUCAAUAUAUAUUUAUUAUUUAUUAUUUUAUAAUUUGUAAAAAUGGAAAUAAAUAAUAGUGUAUGUAAAAAGAUUUGUAUACCGAAUUUUUGUUCCGCAUAAAACGCAGAUCUUCACCUAGUAUAUUUAUAAAAUUAAAAGUUAUCCUCCUGGAUGUGUGGAUCAAAAUCUAUUUUGUUACUUAUAAUUCUUAUUCAGUCCUUUUUUGUAAGGAAUUAUAGAGCAAUAGACAAACUGGUGACCAUAAAUGAGGAUAUGAACGAGAAUGAAUACUACAUUCUCCGUCGUUCUUUUUCUUUUGGAGAAAUUUCAUGUUUACCACUUUUAUAGUACCAUUAUUCAUCUUAACCACCACUUAAAUGGUAUUUUCAAAAAUAUCUACUUCAUUAACCACCACUUUUUAUAAUUUUAUUUAUAAUUUUUUCAAAAUUUCUUUUUGUUUUUUUCAAAUUUUUUCUUGAAAAUCAAAAAUUAUGUUUGAAACUAUUUCUUCAAAAGUUAUUAUAUUUUUAGUAUUUAUUUAUAUAUUUAUUAGAAAAAUUAUAUAUUUAUUAGAAUCCUAAAUUUUACAUUCCAAAAAUCCUAUCCCACCUCUCAAGUCUAAACCCGAAAUCAAGAUUAUUUAACCCUAUGAAUAUAAAUGUCUUUUACCUUUCAUUAACAUUGAAAGUAAAAGUGGUUAAUGUAAACAUAAAUAGUGGGAUUAUGAAUGUGGUAUACGUGGCAAUUUUUUUUUCUUUCACCAAAGUGGUGAAUAGGAAAAUCAGCUUUUGAAUUUAUUUUAUAUUUCUCCUUAGUUAUAUAUUUGUGCUUUUUUCAAAUAUGACUCAAAACAAAAAAAAAAUCAAACACAAAACUAAUCUAUGAUUUUUUUGGAACUUUCAUUUGCCCUCUUCAUGGAAAAGGGUCCUAUUUCAACAUGAACUUUGUAUGUCAUGCAUAUUCCUUUCCGAACUUUGUAGUAGUGCAUAUUCCAUACUGAACUAAGCAAAAAUUAAAAUAUACUACAUGAACUUUAAUACAUCGUGCCUUUUUAUUUCCGAACUUUUAGUAGUGCAUAUUCUAUACCGAACUAAACAAAAAUUCAAAAAUACUACAUGAACUCUUAAAAUCGUGCUUCUAUAUAUAUUGACCGUCAAAGGUGUUAGUCAGCCAUUAAUUUAUAAAAACAACGUCAUUUUGGAUAACAUCUAUAAACCAAAAUAACUUUCUUGUAUAAACUGUGUAAACAUUAACUUAUAUAUAUAUAUUUUAGUUUAAUCAAAUAAAUGUUACCAAAUUUUUAUUGUUUUAGUCUUAUCAAAUAAAUCUAUAAUUACUUAUGUUUUUAAAUUUACCGUUAAAAAUUAUUAUUUUAUAAGUUUUAAUUAUUUAUAAUUAAUUCAAAUAUUUACUUUAUGCUUGUCCACCAGUGUGAGAGUUUGAAUUUCCCAAAAAAUAAAUUUAAAUUUACAGAAUUUAUCCAAGAUAACACGUUUUGAUAAAUUAAUGGAUGACUAAUACCUUUGACGGUCAAUAUAUAUAAGCACGAUUUUAAGAGUUCAUGUAGUAUUUUAAAUUUUUUAUUUUACAGAAUUCAUCAAAAAAUAAUGUUGUUUUGAUAAAUGAACGGAUGACUAAGAGCAUCUCCAACAAGCCCCUUCAUUUUUUAUGGGGUCCACCUUUAAAAUAAAGGGUUAAAGGGGUGAUUCUCCAAUGGUGACCUUCAAAAUUUUAAUCUUAAAAACUUAUAUUUUACACUUUAGUCAUCAAUUUCAGUAAUAGUUCGUUAUAUUCAUUAAAAUUUUAUAAAUUAACAAUAAACCCAUAUUAAUGUAUGGUAUUGACAUAAUUAGUAAACAUAUUUAAUUAUAACAUCAAAUUACUUAUAAUAAAAGAUAAAAACAUUAAAACAUAAAAUUACAUAUAAAACAUAAACAAUUCAAAUUACAAUAUAUAUAUAUAUAUAUACAAUACAAAACUAAUCAAUACGAUUAUUUCCAUAAUGUUCCCAAAUAUGCUCAAUCAAAGCAUUUUUAAGUGAUAUAUGAGCUUUUUUAUUUUUUAUUCGAAGAUUACGUGCUAAAAAUUGUUGAAAACACAUAUAUUCGUUUAUGGCCAUCUCGUCAGUUUAUCUGAUCUGAACAAGCAAGAAUCAUACAAAAAAAGAAUUCAACAACAUCAAACCGAAGAGAAUGCUCGAAAUUUAUAUCGAGAAUACUUUGGUAAUUUUGGAGGUUCAAGACCAAAAUUACCUUAAUAUUAGUAUUGUAAUAUUUCAAUGUGUAAUAUUUCAGCUUAUGAAUUUACCUGAAUAUUAAUAUUGUAAGAUAUAUUUUAAUGUGUAAUAUUUUAGUUUAUGUAUCUUUUAUUUUGAUGUAAAAUAUUAUGAUUGUAUUAUAAUUUUGUAUUUGUGUAAAUUUUUCGAAAUAUAUUGUGUCAAAUAAUAUGUUUAUAUUAUAUUUUAUUAAUAUUAGUAUGUAUUGGUAUAUAAUAUUUAUUAAUAUAUUAUUAUUAUUUAAAAAUAAUUUUAUAAGACCACAAUUAUAAUAUUUCAAUGCCAGUAUAAUUAUAAUAGUAGAAUGCCAAAUAAGAAAUAAUAAGUACACAAUCAUUAAACAUAUAUAAAUGGAAGGACUAAAGUGAAAAGUAAACAGUGUUUAAAGGCCGUUACAGUGCCCCUUUAAAUUUGAAGGUGUACUAUUCACCCCUUUAAAAUUUGAAGGGAUGAAGGGCUGUUGGAAAGCAAAAGCCUUUAAAAAAUAAAGGGAUAAAGGGUUGUUGGAGAUGCUCUAACACAUUUGACGAUCAAUAUAUAUAGAAGCACGAUUUUUAGAAUUUAUGUAGUAUUUUUGAAUUUUUGUUUAGUUCGGUAUGGAAUAUGCACUACUAAAAGUUCGGUAAUGAAAAAGAACGAUGCAUUAAUGUUCAUGUAGUAUAUUUAAAUUUUGGUUCGGUUCAGUAUGGAAUACACACUACUACAAAGUUCAGAAAAGAAUAGGCACGACGGAUAAACUUGAUGUUGAAAUAUGCCAUUUUUCCCAUGUUCACCCCAUAAGUUUGGAUUAUUCACGAAAAUGCCAUUACCUUUUUUUUUUUAUAGAAAAUGAGUGUUUUACUCAAUCAUCCUCAUCUUCAUCAAGUAUUUAUAAUAUUGUCAUUGCCAUCAAUACAUCAACCCACCAUGAACAACCAAUUUGAAACUCUUAAUGCACCAAAGUUUCGAUUUUUACUUUUUAUAUCUCAUUACUUAUGCACACAAAUACAUCUCUUUCACGUUCUCUUAUUUAUCAAAAAAAAUCCAAGAUUUUGAUUCUAAACUUUGUAAGGUUCAAACUCAUGAUUCUUGGUCAUUAACAAGUGGGUCUGUUUUGUGGUGAAGUUACAUGUGAUAGGAGAAGCUAAUCAAGUUAUCUUACUCGUUGAAAGUAUGAAGUUAAUUUUUUUCAGAUCUGUUUGUCAGAAGACUUUCGUGUAAGUCUUAUGGUCGUAGAAGACUUAUACGGAAGUCUUCUGGUCAAUACAGAGUUUAGUUUUGCAAUUGACUUUAUGUGUGUGUUUAGAGACGAUUUCUCUGAAAGUCUUCCGCCAGAAGACUUCCCUGUAAAUCUUCCAAACUCUCGGUGGAAGUCUUCUCAUACUGAAAAUCGUCUCGGAUUAUUUUUGCAAUUGAAAAAUAAAAAUUAAAUAUUUAAGUUUUAGUUUUUUCAAUUGCAAAAGUAACGUGAGAUGUCGUCUAGUUAAAUAUAAUAUUUAAGUUUUAUUUUUCUGGUGGAAGACUUCAAUGUAAAUCAUAUAGAAAAAGUCAAUUUCUUAUAUAGUUCGGUCAAUUGCAAAACUAACAUGUUUAUACUAGACUCUGAUAUUUUCAAAAAAUUUGAAAAACAAAAUUAAGCUGGUAUUUACAAAG